rnacentral:rRNA from 1 species
UUAAGUGACGAUAGCCUAGGAGAUACACCUGUACCCAUGCCGAACACAGAAGUUAAGCCCUAGAACGCCGGAAGUAGU